AAUUUAAACUGAUAUUAACCAUUUUGGAGUUACCUUCUUUUUUGUAUGUGAGAAUUACACAAUUCAAGAUGGCGGGUUAUGACCCAGUUUCAGUCGAACGUCGCAAUAUAAAGUAAAAGUGAUAGAUCUAUAAUAAUCUAGAUCUAGAUCUAUAUCUAAUAGAUCUCAAGAGUCUUUAGACUUAAGAUUCUAAAUCUUUUAAGAAAAUGUUUUUUUUAGAUAUAUAAUAGACUCUAUGUACACCUAAAAAGAAAGUUUUUCCAUUAGAUUUAGAUCAUUACUCAUUAGAUUCUAAAUUGAAAAUUCUAGAUGUCUAAAUUGACUAGAUCUAGAUAUAAAUCUAGAAUUUCUAAUUCUAGUGUAGUCAACAUCUAGUCAAUAAAGUAGUUUAUUAUUCAUUACAUGAAUCCGUACAACUGUUUUUUUGGAUUCCAGGAUGACUUUACCUCUUCCUAGGGUUACGACUAUAUUUUUUUGGUUGGCUAAGUCUAUACUAUGCUAAUUAGCCCGGCAAUAUUUAUUCUGUUUUUGGAGCUAUUAAUAUGGUGUUUGUAUUAAAUUACAAUUUUCUUACCAAAAUUUAUUUCAGUCAGUUUUGGACAUCAAUGUUAAUGAUCUUAAUCUUAUGUUAUAUUUGUUUGUUUGUUGUUUUUUUUAUAGAGAAUAAAGUUGCAAAUGUUUGGAGUGAGCUUGAUACAUUGAAUGAGGUUAAGAUCUCUAGACUCUAGACAAGACUUAGACUCUUGCCUAGAGAGUUUACUCGACACUGACUGUUCUACUGUACAGACAGUACACUGCACAUACCGACAUAGUACUGCUAGUGACUAGUGUAUAUACAAAAUUAUCAUAUAUUUUCUCCCAUAAAUAUUCUAUUGACCAUUCUAUAUUUACAUUGCUGACAUUGGUAAAAAAAAAAAAAAAAAAAAAAAUUGGUUUUGAUUAAAAAAUAAAAUUUUGACACUUGUGUGUUUGAAAUAAUUAUAUUCUAGCCUAGAUGUCUCCAGUGCCAUUGCUAAAAUUUGUAUUUUUUUAUGGGAUUCAAAAUCUAACUGCCAGGUACUUCAGAAGUAUGAAAAAUGAGAGGCAACAAUUUCUGAAUCUUAAAAUGACUUCAACACUGCGCAGUUAUAUAAAUACUUUUGUAUAUGUAUAGCAUGUUGAUUAAAGUAGCAAAUUUCACUGUAGUGGUCACAAAACAUAAAAUAGUUAGACAGCUUAGUCAUAGUUUUUAAAAUAUGGUACCGAUAUUGUAAAACCUUAUCCCGUAUUGUAAAACUUUAUCCGAUGUGCUUUGUUGACAAUCAAGUUGCUCAAGAUAAAACACUACACACAGUUCAUAAACAUUACAAGAUAAAUUUUAAAAAUGUAGCACAAGAUUUCUUGUAUGUCUAACUUGCCUUUGAUUUUUUUACAAACUUUG